GACGAACGCUGGCGGCGUGCCUAAUACAUGCAAGUCGAACGCAGUGGGGACGGGUGAGUAACACGUGGGUAACCUCCCAUCAGAGGGGGUAACACUUGGAAACAGGUGCUAAACCGAUACUGAUGGAUGGACCCGCGGUGCAUUAGCUAGUUGGUGAGGUAACGGCGCACCAAGGCCAUGAUGCAUAGCCGUCCUGCGGGGGUGAGCGGCCACACUGGGACGGAGACACGGCCGGGACUCCUCCGGGAGGGAGCGGUAGGGAAUCUUCGGCAAUGGACGUAAGUCUGACCGGGCAACGCCGCGUAGAGGAUGAUACUUUUCGGAGCGUAAACUCCUUUUGUUAGGGAAGCGGUACCUAACGAAUAAGCACCGGCUAACUCCGUGCCAGCAGCCGCGGUAAUAC
rnacentral:rRNA from 1 species